AGUCGCCACGGGAAUACGGAGGGUGCAAGCGUUAAUCGGAAUUACUGGGCGUAAAGCGCACGCAGGCGGUCUGACAAGUCAGAUGUGAAAUCCCCGGGCUUAACCUGGGAACUGCAUUUGAAACUGUCAGGCUGGAGUCUUGUAGAGGGGGGUGGAAUUCCAGGUGUAGCGGUGAAAUGCGUAGAGAUCUGGAGGAAUACCGGUGGCGAAGGCGGCCCCCUGGACAAAGACUGACGCUCAGGUGCGAAAGCGUGGGGAGCAAACAGGAUUAGAUACCCGUGUAGUCCCUGUCUCUUAUACA
rnacentral:rRNA from 1 species